rnacentral:rRNA from 1 species
AUUGAACGCUGGCGGAAUGCUUUACACAUGCAAGUCGAGCGGCAGCGCGGGGCAACCUGGCGGCGCGCGGCGAACGGGUGAGUAAUGCAUCGGAACAUGUCCAUGCCGUGGGGGAUAGCCCGGCGAAGGCCGGAUUAAUACCGCAUACGCCCUGAGGGGGAAAGUGGGGGACCGCAAGGUCUCACGCGAUUGGGUUGGCCGAUGUCCGCUUAGCCAGUUGGCGGGGUAAAGGCCCACCAAGGCGAUGAUCGGUAGCUGGGCUGAGAGGAUGAUCAGCCACACUGGGACUGAGACACGUCCCAGACUCCUACGGGAGGCAGCAGUGGGGAAUUUUGGACAAUGGGGGCAACCCUGAUCCAGCCAUUCCGCGUGAGUGAAGAAGGCCUUCGGGUUGUAAAGCUCUUUUGUCCGGAACGAAACGGUUGAGGCUAAUACUCUCGACUACUGACGGUACCGGAAGAAUGAGCACCGGCUAACUACGUGCCAGCAGCCGCAGUAACAC